rnacentral:lncRNA from 1 species
GUCUUUACAGGUUUUUAUCAUCUCUCAGUUGGAAGUACUUGUGGUCCAAAUGAAUCUAGAUCUUUUGGCGGAGAAUGUUGUCCAAUGUGCAAUAGAGGGUCAGUGGUGUACCUUGACCGCACUGGUGAUUUCAGUACAACAUGUAUACCCUGCAGUCCAGGAACAUUCGUCAAAGACUUUACAUCCAGAGUAAAUGCACUACAGUAAGAGACACCAUCUGUGAUGUACUUGAUGGAUAUCACUGUGUUCACUUCUCCAAUUCAGAGUGCCUUCAUGCUGAAAAACACAAGAGUUUGCAAACCAGGAUAAGAAACAAAAACACCAGAAGAAAAAAGCAACGUUUAUCCAGGAGCCUCAGCACAGGGCACUUGACCGGUAGCAUCAUUUUGAGUAGCCGCAUUCUGAAAUCCUGGCAAGUUUGUGGAGACCACCAUGCCA